rfam:Gossypium raimondii Chr08_contig_435, whole genome shotgun sequence.
ACUUAGGCAUUUUUGAGCAAAGAAACUGGCUGAGGCCGCACGGAUCGCAUGGGAAAACUCUAAGUCCAUGACACUAGUAGCUAGUUCCCUCCGAAGUUUCCCUCAGGAUAGCUGGAGGCCUUAGCGAGUUCUAUCGGGUAAAGCCAAUGAUUAGAGGCAUCGGGGCCGCAAUGCCCUCGACCUAUUCUCAAACUUUAAAUAGGUAAGAUGGUGUGGGUGCUUCGUUGAGCCGCGCCACGGAAUCGAGAGCUCCAACUGGGCCAUUUUUGGUAAGCAGAACUGGCGAUGCGGGAUGAAUCGGAAGCUGGGUUACGGUGCCCAACUGCGCACUAACCUAGAACCAACAAAGGGUGUUGGUUGAUUAAGACAGCAGGACGGUGGUCAUGGAAGUCAAAAUCUGCUAAGGAAUGUGUAACAACUCACCUGCCGAAUCAACUAGCCCCAAAAAUGGAUGGCACUUAAGCGCGUAACCUACACUUGGCCGCCGUGGUAAGGGCCAGGCCCCGAUUAGCAAGACAAUACGGCGAUCAUCGCAAAACCUGGGGCAUGAGCCUGGGUGGAGCGGACGUCGGUGCAGAUCUUGGUGGUAGUAGCAAAUAUUCAAAUGAGAACUUUGAAGGCUGAAGAGGGGAAAGGUUCCAUGUGAACAUCACUUGCGCAUGGGUUAGUCGAUCCUAAGAGACGGAGAAAGCCCGUCCGAUAGCACGUUCAGCGCGAGCUUCGAAAGGGAAUCGGGUUAAAAUUCUUGAACCGAGACUCGGUGACUGAAGAUAACGUUAGGGAGUCCAGAGACGUCGGUGGAGGCAUCAGGAAGAGUUAUCUUUUCUUUUUAACGGCCUGCCUACCCUGGAAAUGGCUUAGCCGGAGGUAGGGUCCAGCGGCCGAAAGAGCACCGCACGCUGUAUAGUGUCCGGUGCGCCCUCGGCGGCCCUUGAAAAUCUGAAGGAUCGAGUGCUGUCUGCGCCCGGUCGUACUCAUAACCACAUCAGGUCUCCAAGGUGAACAGCCUCUGGUC